rnacentral:lncRNA from 1 species
CCUCUGCCAGGCUCUUCUGUCUUCUCUCUGACUAAGCCCCCCCCCCCACCUUGGGUCCUGUCCUUGGCCCCUUCAGCCCAGUUGUAGCAAGAAUCUCGCCGAGUCGGUUUAGCAAAAAUCCCUCCCUCUUGGUCUGAUUCCCCUGAGUAGCUGCUCAAAUUCCGCAUCCUGAUGUCACUCUGCCCUGCCUUCAGCAGGAACCCUGUCAGGGCAGUUUAGCAAAGAUUUACCCCGCCUCUUAGUACUUUUACAUUCACCUGACCCCUCACCCUGCUCCUUGGCUAUAAAUCCCUUUUCUUUCUUGUAUUUAGGGUUUAGCCUAAUCUUCCCUACUGCGAAAGCCCACCAUCGUUGUCCUUCCUGGAUAGUCGGCCUUACUGUCUUUAGCACAUGUCGUCAGUUUCUCUUUGAGGUCAAAACGCUGGACAAAUGCUUGCCUAAUUUUACUUAACAAGAGAGGGCUGCGUGAUGAACGAGCCCCUUGGAAGUGCUUGCGGCUCGCUCAAACUGAACCCACCUUCGCGGGGUGGGUGAUGCUGGAUCUGGUGGCAGCGCCAAAUCGCUCUCCUUUCGGGGUUGGUUUCCGCCUGGGGAACUGACAGGCGACAAUGGCCAGAGGGCAGGUGGGCUCCCCGAGGGCAGGGUAGCCACGCGCGCCCCGCAUCUAACGACUCGGAUAAGUGAACAAAAAGCGAAUGCAUGCAGGGGGCCAAGCUUUUGUAAACGGACAAAAAUGAGCUUUCCAAGAAGCAACAGCUAUCGCACGUCUUAAAAGUGACCAGUUGGUCGCCGAAGGGGCCCUGCUACUGGAGCCCCUACGGAGCGACCCGGGAAAGAGAGCCAGCGCACGAAGACAGCCAACGAGCGAAGGCGUCGGACUCCGCAGGCGCCUCCGCCUCCCAGCCCCCCGGGAGCCCCUCCUCCCGGCCGCUCGCCCCGCCCGGAUAUCCGGCCUUGCCCCGCCCCCGGCUAGUCUCCUCGCCCGGAUAUCCGGCGUGGCCCCGCCUCCCGGCCACCGGGGUAAUGGCGCUGUGCGAGGCGGUCGUGUGCGGAAGCUCUCUGCUCUGGCCUCGGGUGUUGUUCUUCGGCGACUCCACCACCCAGGUACUUUGAAUUUGGUCACAGCGGGAACAGUGCUUUGUGUGCCACGCGGAGCUUCCUGGGGCGUCACCUUGCACAGAUCACGGCGGCGCCUGAAGCACUUCCUGCAGUUUCGUACCUCCUAUUCCAUGCGGAAAACACUCAACCCCCGUGCUUCCUCUGAUGGGACAUCUCGCCGCUCUCUUGAAUGAGAUGCCGCCAAGUGAUACCGACCAGGGUUCUUGGCCUUCCCAAUCAGUAGAAAUGGAUAAGAGGCCAGUCCAGAAAUUCAGGCAGGGCUUGACUGGGGCUCCUGCAGCUGCAGGAGGGGAGCGAAAACAAUAACAGGUUCCCUUGCUCGC